AAAAAGAAAUAGUUUUAAAAUGGUGGUACUCCAUCAAUAGUAAAAUUUCCAACGCGUUUUUUCUCAUUUCUUUACAUUUAUCUUCAUCUUGGAUUUUUUUUUUUACCUAACACGUUUAAUUUAUAUUUUUACACAUUUUCAUUUUUUUUAUUUUCCUUUUUCCUAUUUAUACAGUGUUUGCCAAACAAAAAACUUAGUAAAUGCAUAUUUACA
rnacentral:lncRNA from 1 species